GGAGGAGUGGCCGAGUGGAUGAAGGCGUCGGUCUUGAAAAUCGGUAAUGUAUUUUUUUACAUUCUAGAGUUCGAAUCUCUACUCCUCCA
rnacentral:tRNA from 1 species